AGAGUUUGAUCCUGGCUCAGAUUGAACGCUGGCGGUAUGCUUAACACAUGCAAGUCGAACGGUAGCGCGGAGAGCUUGCUCUCUGGCGACGAGUGGCGGACGGGUGAGUAACGCGUGGGAAUCUACCUAAUAGUCGGGGACAACUUGGGGAAACUCAAGCUAAUACCGGAUGUGGUCUACGGACUAAAGAGGGGGAUCUUCGGACCUCUCGCUAUCAGAUGAGCCCGCGUUAGAUUAGCUAGUUGGUGGGGUAAAGGCCCACCAAGGCGACGAUCUAUAGCUGGUCUGAGAGGACGAUCAGCCACACUGGGACUGAGACACGGCCCAGACUCCUACGGGAGGCAGCAGUGGGGAAUAUUGGACAAUGGGCGCAAGCCUGAUCCAGCAAUACCGCGUGUGUGAAGAAGGCCUGCGGGUUGUAAAGCACUUUCAAUUGUGAAGAAAAGCCUAAGGUUAAUAGCCUUGGGUCUUGACGUUAACUUUAGAAGAAGCACCGGCUAACUCCGUGCCAGCAGCCGCGGUAAUACGGAGGGUGCGAGCGUUAAUCGGAAUUACUGGGCGUAAAGCGUGCGUAGGCGGAUUGUUAAGUCAGAUGUGAAAGCCCCGGGCUCAACCUGGGAACUGCAUUUGAUACUGGCAGUCUUGAGUGUAGUAGAGGGGGGUAGAAUUCCUAGUGUAGCGGUGAAAUGCGUAGAUAUUAGGAGGAAUACCAGUGGCGAAGGCGGCCCCCUGGACUAACACUGACGCUGAGGUACGAAAGCGUGGGGAGCAAACAGGAUUAGAUACCCUGGUAGUCCACGCCGUAAACGAUGUCAACUAGUCGUUGGGUCCUUCGGGAUUUAGUGACGCAGCUAACGCGUGAAGUUGACCGCCUGGGGAGUACGGCCGCAAGGUUAAAACUCAAAGGAAUUGACGG
rnacentral:rRNA from 1 species